UACGGGGGGGGCAAGCGUUGUUCGGAAUUACUGGGCGUAAAGGGCCAGUAGGCGGCCAACUAAGUCGGAUGUGAAAUCCCCAGGCUUAACCUGGGAACUGCAUCCGAUACUGGAUGGCUUGAAUCCGGGAGAGGGAUGCAGAAUUCCAGGUGUAGCGGUGAAAUGCGUAGAUAUCUGGAGGAAUACCGGUGGCGAAGGCGGCAUCCUGGACCGGCAUUGACGCUGAGUGAGCGAAAGCCAGGGGAGCAAACGGG
rnacentral:rRNA from 1 species